rnacentral:rRNA from 1 species
UACAGAGGGGGCAAGCGUUGUUCGGAAUUACUGGGCGUAAAGGGCGCGUAGGCGGCCUUCUAAGUCAGACGUGAAAUCCCCCGGCUUAACCUGGGAACUGCGUCUGAUACUGGAAGGCUUGAGUGCGGGAGAGGGAUGUGGAAUUCCAGGUGUAGCGGUGAAAUGCGUAGAUAUCAGGAGGAACACCGAUGGCGAAGGCAGGUCUCUGGGCUGACACUGACGCUCAUGCACGAAAGCGUGGGGAGCAAACAGG